UAAUCCACUUUAGGGCUUACCUGAUAUGGAGUGAGAUUGGCUGGACCAGGACGGCAGCUCUUGGAGAGCUCCCAUCGAAUCUCCGUCCCUAGAGAGGCCCACUACUUGUUGUAGUGUGCCUUAAUGUGGGUUGUGCCAAACCCCCCAGCACCUGACUGCAGUUUCAUGGGAAGGAGCCACAGACAGAUAUGGAGGUGGCACUCCCCACUUUCACACCAGGACAGUCCCGAUGGAGGUAACAAACAGACAUAAACACCAUGAACUCAAGAAGGAAACAAGAGAAAACAGAAAAGGAAAAGAGUGGCUUACCUGAUAUGGAGUGAGAUUGGCUGGACCAGGACGGCAGCUCUUGGAGAGCUCCCAUCGAAUCUCCGUCCC